rnacentral:rRNA from 1 species
AUUGAACGCUGGCGGUAUGCUUAACACAUGCAAGUCGAACGAUGAGAAAGAGCUUGCUCUUUCGAUUAGUGGCGGACGGGUGCGUAACGCGUAGGAAUCUACCUAUUAGUGGGGGACAACUUAGGGAAACUUAAGCUAAUACCGCAUACGCCCUACGGGGGAAAGAAGGGGAUCGCAAGACCUUUUGCUAAUAGAUGAGCCCGCGUAGGAUUAGCUAGUUGGUGGGGUAAAAGCUCACCAAGGCGACGAUCCUUAACUGGUUUGAGAGGAUGAUCAGUCACACUGGAACUGAGACACGGUCCAGACUCCUACGGGAGGCAGCAGUGGGGAAUAUUGGACAAUGGGCGAAAGCCUGAUCCAGCAAUACCGCGUGUGUGAAGAAGGCCUUAGGGUUGUAAAGCACUUUCAAUUGGAAGGAAAACCUCGAAGCUAAUACCUUCGAGUUUGACAUUACCUUUAGAAGAAGCACCGGCUAACUCCGUGCCAGCAGCCGCAGUAA